rnacentral:rRNA from 1 species
ACUGACGAUAAUAGCAGUUUGGCACCACCUGAUCCCAUUCCGAACUCAGAAGUGAAACGGACUUACGCCGAUGAUAGUUUAGCAUUCGCUAGGUGAAAGUAGGUAAUCGUCAGAC